rnacentral:rRNA from 1 species
CCUACGGGAGGCAGCAGUGGGGGAUAUUGCACAAUGGGGGAAACCCUGAUGCAGCGAUGCCGCGUGAAUGAAGACGGCCCUCUGGGUUGUAAGCUUCUUUUCUGGGGACGUAAAUGACGGUACCCUGCCAGAAAUCUCCGUCUAACUACGUGCCAGCACACGUGGUACUAUGUCGGCAGCAAGCGUUGUCCGGAAUUACGGGGUGUAAUGGGGGCGUAGGCGGGUGCAUAAGUUGAUUGUGAAAUCUAUGGGCUCAACCCAUAGCUGCGUUCAAAACUGUUCUUCUUGAGUGUAGUAGAGGCAGGCGGAAUUCGUAGUGUAGCGGUGAAAUGCGUAGAUAUCACGCAGAACCCCGAUUGCGAAGGCAGCAUACCGGUGCACAACUGACGCUGAGGCACGAAAGCGUGGGUAUCGAACAGGAUUAGAUACCCCUGUAGUC